GGGCCCGAAGUUUACCCGGUUUGAACACCUCAUUUGCAAUGAGGAGGCAGAGGGUUCGACUCCCUCCGGGUCCACAA
rnacentral:tRNA from 1 species